rnacentral:rRNA from 1 species
UACGAAGGGGGCUAGCGUUGCUCGGAAUUACUGGGCGUAAAGGGCGCGUAGGCGGCACUGUUAGUCAGGCGUGAAAGUCCUGGGCUCAACCUGGGAACUGCGCUUGAUACGGCAGAGCUAGAGGAUGGAAGAGGGUCGCGGAAUUCCCAGUGUAGAGGUGAAAAUUCGUAGAUAUUGGGAAGAACACCGGUGGCGAAGGCGGCGACCCGGUCCAUUACUGACGCUGAGGCGCGACAGCGUGGGGAGCAAACAGG